rnacentral:rRNA from 1 species
GAUGAACGCUGACAGAAUGCUUAACACAUGCAAGUCGUUGGCGAAGCUGCGCUUGCGCAGUCUAGCCAAGGCGGACGGGUGAGUAACGCGUAAGGAACUUGCCCUGCAGACAGGGAUAACAGACGGAAACGACUGAUAACACCUGGUAUUGUCAGGCUGGCGCAUGCCGGCCUGAUGAAAGGAGACGCUGCAGGAGAGCCUUGCGUCCUAUUAGCUAGUUGGUGGGGUAACGGCCCACCAAGGCGAUGAUAGGUAGCCGGCCUGAGAGGGUGAACGGCCACAAGGGGACUGAGAUACGGCCCUUACGCCUACGGGAGGCAGCAGUGGGGAAUAUUGGACGAUGGGGGCAACCCUGAUCCAGCAAUUCUGUGUGCACGAAGAAGGUUUUCGGAUUGUAAAGUGCUUUCAGCAGGGAAGAAGAAAGUGACGGUACCUGCAGAAGAAGCGACGGCUAAAUACGUG